AUUGAACGCUGGCGGCAUGCCUUACACAUGCAAGUCGAACGGCAGCACGGGGCAACCUGGUGGCGAGUGGCGAACGGGUGAGUAAUGCAUCGGAACGUACCUUUCAGUGGGGGAUAACGUAGCGAAAGUUACGCUAAUACCGCAUAUUCUGUGAGCAGGAAAGCAGGGGAUCGCAAGACCUUGCGCUGAUUGAGCGGCCGAUGUCAGAUUAGCUAGUUGGUGAGGUAAAGGCUAAACAAGGCGACGAUCUGUAGCGGGUCUGAGAGGAUGAUACGCCACACUGGAACUGAGAGACGGUCCAGACUCCUACGGGAGGUAGCAGUGGGGAAUUUUGGACAAGGGGGGCAACCCUGAUCCAGCCAUGCCGCGUGAGUGAAGAAGGCCUUCGGGUUGUAAAGCUCUUUCGGCCGGGAAGAAAUCGCACGGGCUAAUACCCUGUGUGGAUGACGGUACCGGAAUAAGAAGCACCGGCUAACUACGUGCCAGCCGCCGCGGUAAGAC
rnacentral:rRNA from 1 species